rnacentral:rRNA from 1 species
GAUGAACGCUGACGGCGUGCCUAAUACAUGCAAGUCGAGCGAACGGACGAGAAGCUUGCUUCUCUGAUGUUAGCGGCGGACGGGUGAGUAACACGUGGAUAACCUACCUAGAAGACUGGGAUAACUUCGGGAAACCGGAGCUAAUACCGGAUAAUAUUUUGAACCGCAUGGUUCAAAAGUGAAAGACGGUCUUGCUGUCACUUAUAGAUGGAUCCGCGCUGCAUUAGCUAGUUGGUAAGGUAACGGCUUACCAAGGCAACGAUGCAUAGCCGACCUGAGAGGGUGAUCGGCCACACUGGAACUGAGACACGGUCCAGACUCCUACGGGAGGCAGCAGUAGGGAAUCUUCCGCAAUGGGCGAAAGCCUGACGGAGCAACGCCGCGUGAGUGAUGAAGGUCUUCGGAUCGUAAAACUCUGUUAUUAGGGAAGAACAUAUGUGUAAGUAACUGUGCACAUCUUGACGGUACCUAAUCAGAAAGCCACGGCUAACUACGUG